rnacentral:rRNA from 1 species
ACUCAAAUGAAUUGACGGGGGCCCGCACAAGCGGUGGAGCAUGUGGUUCAAUUCGACGCAACGCGAAGAACCUUACCAGGGCUUGACAUCCUCUGUAAAGUGCAGAAAUGCACUCCCCAUGGCAACAUGGCAGAGAGACAGGUGCUGCAUGGCUGUCGUCAGCUCGUGUCGUGAGAUGUUGGGUUAAGUCCCGCAACGAGCGCAACCCUCGUCGAGUGUUGCCAUCAUUUAGUUGGGCACUCACUCGAGACCGCCGUUGAUAAGACGGAGGAAGGUGGGGAUGACGUCAAGUCCGCAUGGCCCUUACGUCCUGGGCUACACACGUGCUACAAUGGCCGGCACAACGGGCAGCGAGUCUGCAAAGGCAAGCUAAUCCCUAAAAACCGGUCUCAGUUCGGAUUGAAGGCUGCAACUCGCCUUCAUGAAGUCGGAAUCGCUAGUAACUGCAGAUCAGCUACGCUGCGGUGAAUACGUUCCCGGGCCUUGUACACACCGCCCGU